rnacentral:rRNA from 1 species
UGCCAAACUCUAGCCCAACAUACAUUGACUCAGAAUAACAAAGCCACUUCAUCCAACUAAACUAAAGCAUUUACUAGUCCCAGUAUAGGCGAUAGAAAAGACACUAACAUGGAGCGAUAGAGACCACGUACCGUAAGGGAAAGAUGAAAUAACAAUGAACAAACUAAGCUAUAAACAGCAAAGAUCAACCCUUGUACCUUUUGCAUAAUGGUCUAGCGAGAAAAACCAAGCAAAAUGAAUUUAAGUUUGCCACCCCGAAACCUAAGCGAGCUACUUACGAGCAGCUAUUAUUGAGCGAACCCGUCUCUGUUGCAAAAGAGUGGGAUGACUUGUUAGUAGAGGUGAAAAGCCAAUCGAGCUAGGUGAUAGCUGGUUGCCUGUGAAACGAAUCUUAGUUCACUCUUAAUUCUCCUCCAAGGAAAACUCACCAAACCCCAAUGAAGCGAAUUAAGGGCUAUUUAAAGGGGGUACAGCUCCUUUAAAAAAGAACACAAUCUCUACGAGCGGAUAAAUAACCAAUAACCCAAGACUAUCUGUGGGCCCUCAAGCAGCCAUCAACAAAGAGUGCGUUAAAGCUCCGUACCCAAAAAAUAUAUAAACCUUAUGACUCCCUCAUCACUAACAGGCUAACCUAUACUUAAAUAGGAGAAUUAAUGCUAGAAUGAGUAACCAGGGUCCUCCCUCUACGACGCAAGCUUACAUCCGUACAUUAUUAACAAAUACCCAAUAUACAACAAAUAAAACAAGCAGAGUAUUAACUACAUUGUUAACCCGACAGAGGAGCGUCCAUUAAGAAAGAUUAAAACCUGUAAAAGGAACUAGGCAAGCCCGUCAAGACCCGACUGUUUACCAAAAACAUAGCCUUCAGCAAAUCAACAGACAAGUAUUGAAGGUGAUGCCUGCCCGGUGACCUAGUGUUCAACGGCCGCGGUAUCCUAACCGUGCAAAGGUAGCGCAAUCAAUUGUCCCAUAAAUCGGGACUAGUAUGAAUGGCUAAACGAGGUCUUAACUGUCUCUUACAGGCAAUCGGUGAAAUUGAUCUCCCUGUGCAAAAGCAGGGAUAAACCCAUAAGACGAGAAGACCCUGUGGAACUUUAAAAUCAGCGACCACACUAAAUCACAUCAACACCCACCGGGUACACGCACUAAUAAGUCUCUGGUCCACGUUUUUCGGUUGGGGCGACCUUGGAGAAAAAAAGAUCCUCCAAAAAUUAGACCAUACCUCUAGACUAAGAGCAACCCCUCAACGUGCUAAUAGCACCCAGACCCAAUAUAAUUGAUCAAUGGACCAAGCUACCCCAGGGAUAACAGCGCAAUCUCCUCCGAGAGUCCGUAUCGACGGGGAGGUUUACGACCUCGAUGUUGGAUCAGGACAUCCUAGUGGUGCAGCCGCUACUAAGGGUUCGUUUGUUCAACGAUUAACAGUCCUACGUGAUCUGAGUUCAGACCGGAGUAAUCCAGGUCGGUUUCUAUCUAUGAUGAACUCUUCCCAGUACGAAAGGAUAGGAAAAGUGAGGCCAAUACCACAAGCAAGCCUUCGCCUUAAGUGAUGAACUCAACUAAAUUACAAAAGGCUAUCCCACCACAACCACGUCCUAGAAAAGGACAAG